UCAACGGAGAGUUUGAUCCUGGCUCAGGACGAACGCUGGCGGCGUGCUUAACACAUGCAAGUCGAACGCUGAAGCACCAGCUUGCUGGUGUGGAUGAGUGGCGAACGGGUGAGUAAUACGUGAGUAACCUGCCCUUGACUCUGGGAUAAGCCCGGGAAACUGGGUCUAAUACUGGAUGCUACAUGUCACCGCAUGGUGGUGUGUGGAAAGGGUUUACUGGUCUUGGAUGGGCUCACGGCCUAUCAGCUUGUUGGUGAGGUAAUGGCUCACCAAGGCGACGACGGGUAGCCGGCCUGAGAGGGUGACCGGCCACACUGGGACUGAGACACGGCCC
rnacentral:rRNA from 1 species